GUGCACUUCCAUGGGAAAGCCAUUGCUGAUAAACCUUGAGAUGACUGAAUUUCACUGAACUGAAUCUUUUUUGCAUGAAGAGAUGGUCAUAAACAUUCACAUCCUUCAUUAGAAAGGUUUUGAAGAUUCUCUGGAGGGUAAGUGUUGCUGUAUUUCAGUCAUUGUAUAUAUGAAAUGGUAAGUAUUACGAAAUACUGGAUUAUACCUCAUAAAUGUAUCUAUUUACAUGUAAAAAAAUACAUUUUUUCUUGAUUA